rnacentral:rRNA from 1 species
ACGAAAGUAUGAUGGAGCAACGCCGCGUGAGUGAUGAAGGUUUUCGGAUCGUAAAACUCUGUUGUAAGGGAAGAACAAGUGCGUNUAGGUAAUGAACGCACCUUGGACGGUACCUUAUAUAGAAAGCCACGGCUAACUACGUGCCAGCAGCCGCGGUAAUACGUAGUGUGGCAAGCGUUGUCCGGAUUUAUUGGGCGUAAAGCGCGCGCAGUGUGGUUUCUUAAGUCUGAUGUGAAAGCCCACGGCUCAACCGUGGAGGGUCAUUGGAAACUGGGGAACUUGAGUGCAGAAGAGGAUAGUGGAAUUCCAAGUGUAGCGGUGAAAUGCGUAGAGAUUUGGAGGAACACCAGUGGCGAAGGCGACUGUCUGGUCUGUAACUGACACUGAGGCGCGAAAGCGUGGGGAGCAAACAGGAUUAGAUACCCUGGUAGUCCACGCCGUAAACGAUGAGUGCUAAGUGUUAGGGGGUUUCCGCCCCUUAGUGCUGCAGCUAACGCAUUAAGCACUCCGCCUGGGGAGUACGACCGCAAGGUNGAAACUCAAAGGAAUNGACNGGGGCCCGCACAAGCGGUGGAGCAUGUGGU